rnacentral:rRNA from 1 species
ACCUGGAUGUGGAUUCUCCACGGCAACGUAACUGAAUGCGGAGACGUCGGCGCGAGCCCUGGGAGGAGUUCUNUNUUCUUCUUAACAGCUUAUCACCCUGGAAUUGGUUUAUCCGGAGAUGGGGNNUUCUGGCUNGAAGAGCGCAGCACCUNNUGCUGCGUCCGGUNCGCUUGUNACGGCCCUUNAAAAUCCGCAGGAAGGAAUAGUUUUCACGCCAGGUNGUACU